AACUUGUAACAAGCUUGAUGGCAUUAUCAGACUUGUUACAAGGUUGUUUUAACAAGUCUGCAUGAUACAGUCAUGAUGUAACAAGAAUGUUACAUGGUUGACGACACAAGGUUGUAACAGUAUUGUUAUAUCAUGACUAUAUUGGACUUGUUGGAACAACUUCGCAAUAAGUCUGAUGAUGCCAUCAAGCUUGUUGCAAGUU